rnacentral:lncRNA from 1 species
UCUUCUGCAUCUUUAAGGAAAGAAGAUUCAGAGUUGUUCGGGUCUUGAAAUUCACAUUCAUUUUUGGUUGCAUCCAUUGUGUCUUCCCUAAAUGUAAUUGUUUCUUGACUUCCUUUCUCCAGCGUAACAUCAAAAUUCUCUUCCAUUUUUCCAUUCCUGCCUGAUACAAACUUUUCUGCACCGGUUUCUCCAAUACUAGUGCCUAUUCUCACGUCUUCUGAAUCAGGUGCAUGAAUUGAAUCUUCUACUUUCAGACCCGAGGUGGCAUCUGCUGUAUCCUCUACUGGUACGACACUUCUAUCCACAACUUUGUCCAAGUUAAUUGAUAAUUCUUCAGCAUACUGUGGGAUUUCUUCUAAGGAAGUCUCUUUAGUUGCUAUAAUUUCUUCCUGUCGAUUACCUAAUUUUUCAUCUUUGAGGGAUUGAAUCUUGCACGCAUCUUUAUUUGCUUGAUCUGGCUUUUCGAUUACUUCAUAUGCAUCAGGUGAACUGUUAUUUUCUUCGUCAGAAACCUUGGCCGUUGAGGAUAAAUUCAAAAAAUUCUCACCCUCUCCUUCUACGGCACAGGCUUCUUUAUUGUUCUUCACAUUUUCUUCCUCAAAAGUACUGUUUAAGAUUUCUUGAGGUUCAUUAGGGAUAACAUCAGCAUCCAUAGUCUCCUCUUUCGAUAGGUUAUCGAGUACUAUGUUGGUAGUAUCGUUUACCAGCUUUCUAUCUUCUCCUUCUACCUAUGUUAAAAUUCAAUGCACGUAAUAUUUCAGACACGAAGGAUAAAAUAAAAGAAUCUUACUAUCGAACGAUUAAACCUUCAAAAAUGUGGUCAUAUAUAAACCAGUCCUUGUCUUAACAUUUUUCCUAGGUGGGACAAUUUAUGACUUCUCUCCCUCCUUCGCCUAAACCACUUUCAAUAGGUUAUAGGUACAUUUUGAACAUCAAUUUUUCAUCUAUCCAAGCAUUGUUUUGGGCAAGUAAAUAUACGAUUUCGAUGUUCGCACAGAGGAAAACGUGAAUCUACUUUGAUCUUAGAAAAAGAUGAAACGGGCUUCACUCAAAAUUAUGCCAAAACAGCACCACUUUCCAACAGGGAGCUGGUAGCUUCGUGCUGUGAUCUGAGAAAGUCUUUACGUUUAUGGAAAACAGUACAGUCUAUGGAUAGUGGAUCAUGUGAUAAUAUCAUUUAAACAGUACGUAGGUGUUUUCGUAUAAUUAUUUCUUCACCUAAUCAGUUUGGAGAUAACAUCUUAUUUUGAAAAUCACAGAAAUUAUGAUUUUCACACAGAAAAAGAAAACACAAAAACAAAAUCAAUAUCCAUUAGAGGCUGAUCAAAAUCCAAAACAAGAAUCCAUUUAUCACUUGUCCAUGGUGGUUUAAUCGUCUUUCCAUUACUUUUAUACUGCUUUCUAACAUAUUCACUGAAAAGUGAGAACCGAUGUAUCAUAAAAAUCAGAUAGUUCCAUCACGAAAUAAACUGAUCGAGAGUUUCUGCUCUUCAUGGAACGAUGAUGCCUAUGUACUCAUCUGGUUUUAAAAUUUCAUGCUCGAUAUUAGUUUAUGUGGCUUCUUCAAUUUUAUCAGAUAUAAAAUACUUGAAUUUCUCGUUGCUACAACUCUACUUUUUGCAGCUAAAAAUGAAGUAGUAAUCUAAUUCGUCAACUUUGAUUACACAUGACAUGAGCCUAAGAUAUGGUUCUUACAUGUUCAAUACAUAGUGCAUAGCUAAUAUGAACAUUCACCAACAUGCAAACGAUAGUAACAUCUGUACUUUUUAGAUCAUGAAGCAAAGAUCGAAGAGGUGAUAUCGCUUACUUUUUCAUUUACAGCUUGUGGAAUAUCAGCAACUUCUGAUGCCAUUUUCUGAUUUCUCGAACUAUCUACACAUCUGAAUUUUCGAGGUAAGUAUUCUUAUAUAGAAACUAAGUGAGCUGAAAUUUUUUACGGAGGAAUAAAUAAGUAGAGGAGUGUUAGAUAUGUGUACUAAUCUCUUGAUUAGUACGUUGCUAAAGUUGACAAAAACAGAAAAUAUGCCACUUCACUUUUGAAUUGGCUAGAGAUUACAAUGACCUCACAUGCUCAAGUUGCUCUUAAUGAAAUUACAUUUCUGACAUGGAUCAAUCAUUCCAUUAACAGUUUAAUGCUACUGCAAAACAAGGAAAAAAAUGCCAGAUUUUUGGGUAAUUUUGAUUAUUAUUUUUGAAAAAGUUGUUUACAAUAAUAGUUGAAGUCGCUAUAUGCUUUGAGUUAAUCGAAAAUACUCAAGAAUUAAUUGCGUUUAAGCUCGAGGCACAAAAUAAUUAAUCCUUGAAGAUUUAUGCACAUGCAUGACGAGUCGUGCUAGAAUUGGACGAUUAUCUUGUAAAAUUUCAGCAAUUUCUACAGAUAUAUUGGUUUCUUAUGAAC